AUCAGGGGUAAACCUGUGGAACUCGAACGAACGAACGGGGAGAUUCAUCGUAUUUCUGUCAGGUCUGCGGUGUGAUUAUACCGCGGUAGUUGCGUCGUCUCGCGCGGCGUUUUCGAUCGUGGAGGUCGUGUCGCGAAGAUCUGCAGAGUGCGUGCACUUCUCCCUUAGUAAAACACCGCGACCCGUUCGGUUAAUCGAGGUCGAACCCGUCGUGCGGUUGACCCGUUCUGGACGUCAAAAUCUGGAGCGGAGCCGCGGCGUGGCGAUCUCGGUCGGACGGUAGAAAACGAGGUUUGCUUCCGCCAUUUCGAUGGCGUCCGUAUUCUGUACCGAGUCGGUCCCGUUCGGACUUCGGCGUAAGCGUCGUAGGUUCCGGACGCGGUUGCUAGCUCGUCGUAUGGGAUGUCUCGGACGGGAAGCGUCCCGGUCGGCGGUGGUUUUGUUUCGGGCACUCACAGGACCC
rnacentral:rRNA from 1 species